AAUUCCUGCCACAUUUCUUAUACUCUUUUCCCUUCUUAUUUCCCAGAGCUUCUUGCUAAUGAGAAAUCUGGUUAGCUGUUUAAUAUGUAUAUGCUGUGUUUUGUAAGUUUAGGAAUAAUAAUAUAUCAAGAAAAAGGGCAACAAAAUUCUAAAAAUUUAAACAUAUACAGUACCUAUAAAUCAAAAUGUAGAAAAAGGCAAUUUACAUCUCUGAAACAACAAAGGAGAAAAUAUUUAAAAAUACUUUCUAAACAUUUAAAGUGUACUUAGGUCCCAGAGAAAAGGCAUGCAAUGAGGAUCUUUGCAGUUGUAGAAGAAAAAUUAGGCAAUAGCUUUCCAUGUGUUCAUAUGUAUCAUUGCAAUUAAUAUUACAAUAUUGAAAAUUUGAGGGUCAAUAUGAAAGCCAGAUAAAAAUGGCAGAUUUUUAUAAGCCAGUCACAUGAAUAAAUGAUUGUCCUGCAAAAAAAAAAAAUUAAGGUUGAGCAUAAAGAGAAUAGGAAAGAAAAAGUGGGGAGGGAGGUGUUAUAAGCUAGCUCUUGAUUAAUUAGCAAUCAGAGUGGAACAACAAAUAUGAAGGCCUGAUCAAUCCGGCAUGUUCAUUAAUAAAUGUCUGAGUGGAUUGCAGGUACAGAGGUUGUUACAGUAGGAGGUGUACAUCAUUAUACUAAGCAUGUUUCAGAUACCACAAGGAGCCCUGCUGAAGAGAAGUUUACAAAAUAGGUGUGAUAAUGUUUCAUAUAUAUAUCAAAUAUUAAAUAAGAUAACUUAUGAGCUAUUACAAAGCAAUAUAUGAUUUUACAAAAAGAGGUAUGUAAGUGCAAUGAGUUCCAUGGACAAAGAAAGUUGAUGACAGGGGAGAAAGAUGAGUUGUAUUCCUAUUCAUUUGAAAAAUUUAAUAAUUUUUAGGUCGACCCUUUUGUACUUUCCUAAUUAUCUUUCAGCAAAUAACCUUGAUUAGUUUGGUACUUCACAUCGUUUUACAGUUAUCUCAGUGUCCUUCCAAGUCAUAUGUGGUCUAUUGAGAGUUCUAUUGUUCUUUAUUUCUAUUUAAAAUUACAGGACAGAAAGCUUGAUUCAAUGCUAGCAAACACCUAUUUAUUUCCUAAUCCUUACCUUUUUUGUUUCAUUAGUUUCUCCUCUAAUUAUCUCCCAGAAUUUUCUUACAAAAUGAUGCCACUUAGGAAUGAAGACUUGGCAUUCCUUACUGGUGCAGAAAAGUUAACUGAUUAUUUAAUCAGUAAUUAAUUAAAAUUAUAUAAUUUUGAAAAUUAAAGAAAUAACCUAUCAGAGUCAUAUUCUUUUU
rnacentral:lncRNA from 1 species